AGCAUGUUAGCUCAGCGGAAGAGCGCCGGGCUCAUAACCCGGAGGUACGUUUAAUCUAAAUCAGCCGAAGGAGACCAGUUCUAAUUGGAUUCCAGGACCCUGGAUCGAAACCAGGACAUGCUA